CUGGCUUUCUCUGUGAGGUUCCUAUUUACUUUUCUUAAGGGGUCUGGCUCUGCGAGGCCCUGGCACAAGCACCAAACACGGGUUUAUAUGGAUUUCUGUUAAAUACGCUGCAAUCACCAGUUUUCCAAGGAGGAGAACUGCAAGAAGAUUUUACAUAAUUGCUAACGGGACGUUUGAUGUGUAUAAGGGGAACAAGGACUUGGAGCUUCCUAGUCUGUCAUUUUGCCAGUAUCGCUCCUUUCCAAUGAGUUUUGACCACCAUAAUUAAGUUAUUUUUUCUUGAGGAACUCUUUGCCAACUGGAAAGUUUACAAAGGUGAUGCUGCUGACUUUCCCUGUCAAGUCAAUCUCAAAUCAUAUUUCAAGGACAAUUGAUUAUAAAGACAUUGGUAAUGAUAAAUAAAAUAGAUAAUGCUAAUUUC